rnacentral:rRNA from 1 species
GACGAACGCUGGCGGCGUGCUUAACACAUGCAAGUCGAACGGUAAGGCUCCAGCUUGCUGGGGUACACGAGUGGCGAACGGGUGAGUAACACGUGGGUGACCUGCCCUGCACUUCGGGAUAAGCCUGGGAAACUGGGUCUAAUACCGGAUAGGACCAUGGUGUGGAUACUGUGGUGGAAAGUUUUUUCGGUGUGGGAUGGGCCCGCGGCCUAUCAGCUUGUUGGUGGGGUAAUGGCCUACCAAGGCGGCGACCGGUAGCCGGCCUGAGAGGGUGGACGGCCACAUUGGGACUGAGACACGGCCCAGACUCCUACGGGAGGCAGCAGUGGGGAAUAUUGCACAAUGGGCGGAAGCCUGAUGCAGCGACGCCGCGUGGGGGAUGACGGCCUUCGGGUUGUAAACUCCUUUCACCAUCGACGAAGGGUUUCUGACGGUAGAUGGAGAAGAAGCACCGGCUAACUACGUG